rnacentral:rRNA from 1 species
UACGUAGGGUGCGAGCGUUGUCCGGAAUUAUUGGGCGUAAAGGGCUCGUAGGCGGUUUGUCGCGUCGGGAGUGAAAUCCACUGGCUUAACUGGUGGCUUGCUUUCGAUACGGGCAGACUGGAGGUAUGCAGGGGAGAACGGAAUUCCUGGUGUAGCGGUGAAAUGCGCAGAUAUCAGGAAGAACACCGGUGGCGAAGGCGGGUCUCUGGGCCGAUACUGACGCUGAGGAGCGAAAGCGUGGGGAGCGAACAGG